UGCCAGGCCUGCUAUGCUGAGUGGAAUGGUUUGACAUCAUAGUGCGAUAGAUAGAAUACUACGUUUCGAAUAAGAGGACAUAGGUGCUCACUUUGGCAGCACAUAAAAUAAAAUUGGAAUGAUACAGAGAAGAUUAAUGAAGCUCUUGUGCAAGGAUGACAUGAAGAUUUGUGAAGCAAAUGAAAAAACCUGGGUUUGAAUCCAACUUCUGUCAUCUACUUCUGAAACUGAAUUACUUUAGGUUUGCUUCUGUUGAGGAGGCUUGAAGUUCAGCAAUGAUGGCAAAUUCUUCCUUUCUACCAACAAUAACUACCUGACUAACCUACUUGAAGAUGGUAGUAUAAUAAACACUUUGCCUUAGUUCCUGUUUACCCUCACAAGUACGUCACAUUCUCUCUAACUGUCUAUAUCAUCAUGGAAAAUAUUAUUGAUUGUCAUCAUCCUUCUCCGUCUCUUCCUCCUCAACACCCCCAGACAUACAGUUUCAUGCCUCCAUUAAUGUGGUGAGGCAAUCUGGCUUUUGUUCAUGGCUCCAAGUGUGGUUCUUUUCUGGCAAGCUGGGCUUUCUUCGCCGACUGUUGGAUGGUUCUCACAUGGAUACAUGUUCUUCUGGUGAGGUAAUAUGUAAGGUGUAAAGAAGACUUCAAUGUAAAUGAACUUUACAAUUAUAGAGCAACUCUGAGAAUUUCUAAAGUAUCAAUUAUGGAAACUCACAACAAUUUGCUGUGCUUCAUCGUUCUCUUUUAUGGAAUCUCCUAUUUAGAUAGCAAAAUUAGGAGUGCUUCACAUUUGGACAAUAAUAUUAUCAAGAGAAGCAUUAUUACAUUAUUAUCCUAA
rnacentral:lncRNA from 1 species